AGAUUGAACGCUGGCGGCAGGCCUAACACAUGCAAGUCGAGCGGUAGAGAGGUGCUUGCACCUCUUGAGAGCGGCGGACGGGUGAGUAAAGCCUAGGAAUCUGUCUGGUAGUGGGGGAUAACGCUCGGAAACGGACGCUAAUACCGCAUACGUCCUACGGGAGAAAGCAGGGGACCUUCGGGCCUUGCGCUAUCAGAUGAGCCUAGGUCGGAUUAGCUAGUUGGUGAGGUAAUGGCUCACCAAGGCGACGAUCCGUAACUGGUCUGAGAGGAUGAUCAGUCACACUGGAACUGAGACACGGUCCAGACUCCUACGGGA
rnacentral:rRNA from 1 species